GUGCCAGCAGCUGCGGUAAUACGGAGGAUCCGAGCGUUAUCCGGAUUUAUUGGGUUUAAAGGGAGCGUAGGCUGAAUCUUCAGUCAGUUGUGAAAGUUUAAGGCUUAACCUUAAAAUUGCAGUUGAUACUGGGAUUCUUGAGUGCAUGAAAUGUGGGCGGAAUUCGUGGUGUAGCGGUGAAAUGCUUAGAUAUCACGAAGAACUCCGAUUGCGAAGGCAGCUCACAGGCCUGUAACUGACGCUGAUGCUCGAAAGUGUGGGUAUCAAACAGGAUUAGAUACCCUGGUAGUCCACACAGUAAACGAUGAAUACUACGCUGUUUGCGAUAUACAGUAAGCGGCAAGACGAAAGCGUUAAGUA
rnacentral:rRNA from 1 species